UGAGUUGUAGACUAAUUGGUUAGGCCGGCUCCAAGUGAUGCGGGUUCGAAUCCCGCCGACGCCC